rnacentral:rRNA from 1 species
UAGGGAAUCUUCCGCAAUGGACGAAAGUCUGACGGAGCAACGCCGCGUGAGUGAUGAAGGUUUUCGGAUCGUAAAACUCUGUUGUCAGGGAAGAACAAGUACCGGAGUAACUGCCGGUACCUUGACGGUACCUGACCAGAAAGCCACGGCUAACUACGUGCCAGCAGCCGCGGUAAUACGUAGGUGGCAAGCGUUGUCCGGAAUUAUUGGGCGUAAAGCGCGCGCAGGCGGUUCCUUAAGUCUGAUGUGAAAGCCCCCGGCUCAACCGGGGAGGGUCAUUGGAAACUGGGGAACUUGAGUGCAGAAGAGAAGAGUGGAAUUCCACGUGUAGCGGUGAAAUGCGUAGAGAUGUGGAGGAACACCAGUGGCGAAGGCGACUCUUUGGUCUGUAACUGACGCUGAGGCGCGAAAGCGUGGGGAGCAAACAGGAUUAGAUACCCUGGUAGUCCACGCCGUAAACGAUGAGUGCUAAGUGUUAGAGGGUUUCCGCCCUUUAGUGCUGCAGCAA